rnacentral:lncRNA from 1 species
CCGGGGUGCCGCGGGCUGCGAGCGGGCCUGCGGAGCCGGGGGAAUGCAGGCUCGCUGUGCCCUGGGCAGCACGGGGAGGCUCUCCCUGGCUGGGUGCUGUGAGAGCUGCGGCGUUGAUGGGUUGGGAAGUGUAUGAGGGAAUUUUCAGGUGUUGCAAGAGCUUUGUUUGUCCAUCAUUGGGCUCUCGACCCCACUCUGUCCCCAAGUUGUCUUCUUCCUGAGACCCGCAGUCUCUGCAGUACUCCACUUGUUCUAGACCAGACUUCCAGCUCGGAAGAGAUGGAUUGCCUUUGCAGCUCUUUUCUAAGCUGUCCUUUCGUCUUGCUGGUUUAUGGUGCCAAGUAAACUCCUGUAGCACUGGUGGAAAGUAAGUUCAAGCAGCAUCUUUAAUUAAGUAUUUGCAUAUGGAUAAUC